AGGAUGUUUAGUGGCGGACGGGUGAGUAACGCGUGAGUAACCUGCCUUGGAGUGGGGAAUAACACAGUGAAAACUGUGCUAAUACCGCAUAAUGCAUUUGGGUCGCAUGAUUCUGAAUGCCAAAGAUUUAUCGCUCUGAGAUGGACUCGCGUCUGGUUAGCUAGUUGGCGGGGUAACGGCCCACCAAGGCGACGAUCAGUAGCCGGACUGGGAGGUUGGCCGGCCACAUUGGGACUGAGACACGGCCCAGACUCCUACGGGAGGCAGCAGUGGGGAAUAUUGGGCAAUGGGCGCAAGCCUGACCCAGCAACGCCGCGUGAAGGAAGAAGGCUUUCGGGUUGUAAACUUCUUUUGUCAGGGACGGAGCAAGUGACGGUACCUGACGAAUAAGCCACGGCUAACUACGUGCCAGCAGCCGCGGUAAUACGUAGGUGGCAAGCGUUAUCCGGAUUUACUGGGUGUAAAGGGCGUGUAGGCGGGAAAGCAAGUCAGAUGUGAAAACUGUGGGCUCAACCCACAGCCUGCAUUUGAAACUGUUUUUCUUGAGUACUGGAGAGGCAGAUGGAAUUCCUAGUGUAGCGGUGAAAUGCGUAGAUAUUAGGAGGAACACCAGUGGCGAAGGCGAUCUGCUGGACAGC
rnacentral:rRNA from 1 species